rnacentral:rRNA from 1 species
AUUGAACGCUGGCGGCAGGCUUAACACAUGCAAGUCGAACGGUAGCAGGAGAAAGCUUGCUUUCUUGCUGACGAGUGGCGGACGGGUGAGUAAUGCUUGGGAAUCUGGCUUAUGGAGGGGGAUAACUACGGGAAACUGUAGCUAAUACCGCGUAAUAUCUUCGGAUUAAAGAAUGGGACUUUUAGCCAUUCGCCAUAAGAUGAGCCCGAGUGGGAUUAGGUAGUUGGUGGGGUAAAGGCCUACCAAGCCGACGAUCUCUAGCUGGUCUGAGAGGAUGACCAGCCACACUGGAACUGAGACACGGUCCAGACUCCUACGGGAGGCAGCAGUGGGGAAUAUUGCGCAAUGGGGGCAACCCUGACGCAGCCAUGCCGCGUGAAUGAAGAAGGCCUUCGGGUUGUAAAGUUCUUUCGGUGGUGAGGAAGGCUAAUAUGUUAAUAGCAUAUUAGAUUGACGUUAGCCACAGAAGAAGCACCGGCUAACUCCGUG